rnacentral:rRNA from 1 species
UACAGAGGUCUCAAGCGUUGUUCGGAUUCAUUGGGCGUAAAGGGUGCGUAGGUGGCGCGGUAAGUCGGGUGUGAAAUCUCGGAGCUUAACUCCGAAAUUGCAUUCGAUACUGCCGUGCUCGAGGACUGGAGAGGAGACUGGAAUUCAUGGUGUAGCAGUGAAAUGCGUAGAGAUCAUGAGGAAGACCAGUGGCGAAGGCGGGUCUCUGGGACGGUACUGACGCUGAGACGCGAAAGCGUGGGGAGCGAACAGG